CACUCUGGCUGGAAUCCGGUGGAUAUGCAGUGUGUACAGAACAGUUCUCCACAGUCGCUGUCCACAUGGGUCAGUGGGACCAAGAAGCACUCUGCUAAUGUGUGGACUCUGACCAGCAACAUCCAGCAAGACCCAGACAGCGUUUUCUAUCUCCCAGCUGGAGUUUUUGUUUGUCAGUGACUGGAGAGUCAGAUUUUUGUUGAGCUUCACACUUGCAGAGGUUAAUACACUCUACUGAUCCCUGAUGGGAGAAUCAUCAAUUUUGGCAACAAAGAAGCCUGGUGGAUGUUUGUUUACAGUCUGAUGAUGGGACAUCAUGCUCUGCAUCUUCAA